rnacentral:rRNA from 1 species
AGUGAACGCUGGCGGUAGGCCUAACACAUGCAAGUCGAACGGCAGCACAGUAAGAGCUUGCUCUUACGGGUGGCGAGUGGCGGACGGGUGAGGAAUACAUCGGAAUCUACUUUUUCGUGGGGGAUAACGUAGGGAAACUUACGCUAAUACCGCAUACGACCUACGGGUGAAAGCAGGGGAUCUUCGGAACUUGCGCGAUUGAAUGAGCCGAUGUCGGAUUAGCUAGUUGGCGGGGUAAAGGCCCACCAAGGCGACGAUCCGUAGCUGGUCUGAGAGGAUGAUCCGCCACACUGGAACUGAGACACGGUCCAGACUCCUACGGGAGGCAGCAGUGGGGAAUAUUGGACAAUGGGCGCAAGCCUGAUCCAGCCAUACCGCGUGGGUGAAGAAGGCCUUCGGGUUGUAAAGCCCUUUUGUUGGGAAAGAAGAGCAGCAGGUUAAUACCCCGCUGUUCUGACGGUACCCAAAGAAUAAGCACCGGCUAACUUCGUG